rnacentral:lncRNA from 1 species
UUUGAACUUUAAUACCGUGAUAGGAAAUAGGGUGAGGGGUCCUUACUUGUUUUCGGGAUCCGAAUACGAUUCACAGUGCGCCUGCAGGCUGUCCCUAAUUUUUCCUGAAUUUUUCCCGGGGAACUGAAACACGCUAACAGUACCUGCACGGGUUCCAAAAAAAAUCCAAAUUAGGCCCAGGGCCUCUUUCGGCCCAAAUCGCAACUCCGGCACGGCGGCUCCGCCGUGUUCCGGCGACGGCGCCGCCGCUGGCGGCGGCGAGUCGCCUCGGGUUGACUGUUUUCGGCCGUUUUUGGCCGAAUUCGGCCACACUCGCAUUGGUCCUUGUCAGAAAACAACCCUAGGGCCCUCGGGGGGCCAAAAAAUCACGGAAAAGCGGAGCUUACCGGCGGCGGCGCUCUCGGGUACGGCGACUCUCCGGCGAAGUUCGUGUUUUGGUGAUUUGGCUUCGGUCAACCUGUAGAGAAAAGAAUGGUGAUCACGGUGAUAUAAAAAUUGCAUCGAACGGAGGCCGGGAAGGGCCUCGUCGGAGGCAAAAACCGAGAGGGGGCGCGGGGGCGCCGCUGGGCUUCGGCCGCGUAUUUCGGCCGUUUGGCCGGGAUUUCGGCUUCGAUUUGGCCAUAGGAGGAAUCAGUGGGGAAAAACGAGUCGGGGGUAUGAAAUUUACCUCGAUCGGCGGUCGGAAAUUUCCCCGGUGCGGCGGCGAGUGGCGGCGGGUGGCGGCGGUCGGCCUCUGGUUCGUCUUCUCCGGCGAGCGGCUGGCGGCUAGG